UUUUUUUUUUUUUUUCCCCCAUGUCUCAAUUUCUAUUGGUUAUAUAGUUGACAUAAGCAUAGUAUAACAUAGUGCAUCAGUAUUCAAAUAUCAGCUAGCACUUAUCAUCGCCAACAGAUUCCGUAGCGCUUUACAAUAUUACUUGUCAACAUAUUCUUCCUCUAGUGCUCUGUGAAACCCCAACAUCAACUUAUACAUUUGUGUGAGUUUUUGUGGUCAUUCAUUGCAUUGUUAUCCCAAUUUCUUAGUUCACAUGUAAGUUAUUAAUUUCUUUUUAUGGUUAGUCUUUCUUUUAAACAUCACUGAUCUAUUGUAACUAAAUACAGAAUGCCAAUCCUUUGAUCUAAGUAACGAUCAUAGGCAUUAUUGUUGAAUAAUAAUUAGGGUGCUGCAGCUCCGGUUUGUAUAUGCCAAUUACACCUCUCUGUAUUUGCCAAGACAGAUUUAGGAAGAGGCAAUUCUGAAUACAUUUUGGGUGUAGUUCACAAACAAGCAGGUUUAUUCACUAAACUUCAAAUGAAAGCAAAUUAAAAUCCAAAUGGCAACAUUUAGAAAAAUAUUUGGAGAUAUUAGUGGUAAACUGCCAAGAAUUCCAAGUGGAAAAAAAAAGAUAAAGCUGUACUUUAUACUGAUGCAUUAUAAAGGCAAUAAAAAUACUGCAAAAAAAAAAAAAGUGUCCCUAAGUGGGUUUUCUAUAUCAAGCAGAGAUUCACCAAUCAUGAAACUCUCAUUCUAGUCAAACAGAUGUUACAAAGUAUAUCCCUAACCUGCACUUUCUGUCAUUACACAGGAUGCCUAAGGAUCGUAUUGAACAGUUGUUAUGGGCAAAUGCAAAUAUUACAAGUUUUAGAAUGAAAUGUUGUAUUUCUUAAACUGUGUACUUUGUCUUUAAGAGAUAUUGCAAACUGACAAGGUGUUAGAAAUGGAACAUAUUGAACAUAUAUAUUUUUCAUAACGGUUUCUUUAAGUAAUAACCUCAUUGCAUAAUAUCUUUGCGCCAUUCUGUCCCAGACGAAUUACAAUAACAAUAAUGCAUAAACAAGCUUCAAGGCUAUGCUACGACUCUUUCAGUACACAAUAUACCGUGGUAACCUUAAGUAGAUAAGGAUGUCCAGACUUUAAGAUGCCAUCUUGAACCAAGUCAGGAAAAUUUCCAUGACGUAUACACCCUUUAGUUAUGGCCUUGUAUGUUUGCCAAAUUAAGGUCCUAAAAUGAAUAAAGUAAAAGAAGUGUUACUUUUUCAUAUAUGAACUACGGUAACCCUAAAAUGGAGACACCUAAGGUAUAAAUAGGUGUACUUUUAAAUGUAC